rnacentral:rRNA from 1 species
GACGAACGCUGGCGGCAUGCCUAAUACAUGCAAGUCGAGCGAACAGAUGAAGUGCUUGCACUUCUGACGUUAGCGGCGAACGGGUGAGUAACACGUAAGGAAUCUACCUAUAAGCGGGGGAUAACAUUCGGAAACGGGUGCUAAUACCGCAUAAUAUCUUCUUCCGCAUGGAAGAAGAUUGAAAGACGGCUCUGCUGUCACUUAUAGAUGACCUUGCGGUGCAUUAGUUAGUUGGUGGGGUAACGGCCUACCAAGACGAUGAUGCAUCGCGGGCCUGAGGGGGUGAUCGGCCACAUUGGGACUGAGACACGGCCCAAACUCCUACGGGAGGCAGCAGUAGGGAAUCGUCCGCAAUGGGCGAAAGCCGGACGGAGCAAUGCCGCGUGAGUGAAGAAGGCCUUCGGGUCGUAAAACUCUGUUAUAAGAGAAGAACAAAUUGUAGAGUAACUGCUACAGUCUUGACGGUAUCUUAUCAGAAAGCCACGGCUAACUACGUGCCAGCAGCCGCCGUAA